rnacentral:misc_RNA from 1 species
GAUGAAGAACGUAGCGAAAUGCGAUAAGUAAUGCGAAUUGCAGAAUUCCAGUGAGUCAUCGAAUCUUUGAACGAACAUUGCGCCCUUUGGUAUUCCGAAGGGCAUGCCUGUUCGAGCGUCAUUAUCACCCCUCAAGCCCUCGGCUUGGUGUUGGACGGUUUGGUGGAGGCCCCCUCGGGGGCUCCUGCCCCUCCCAAAGACAAUGACGGCGGCCUCGUUGGACCCCCGGUACACUGAGUUCUUCACGGGACACGUAUCGGACACAUGGGUUUACGGGACACGGUCUGCCUCCCCUCAGGGAGAAUCUUUCUAAGGUUGACCUCGGAUCAGGUAGGGAUACCCGCUGAACUUAAGCAUAUCAAUAAGCGGAGGA